rnacentral:rRNA from 1 species
GGUUAAGCGACUAAGCGUACACGGUGGAUGCCCUGGCAGUCAGAGGCGAUGAAGGACGUGCUAAUCUGCGAAAAGCGUCGGUAAGGUGAUAUGAACCGUUAUAACCGGCGAUGUCCGAAUGGGGAAACCCAGUGUGUUUCGACACACUAUCAUUAACUGAAUCCAUAGGUUAAUGAGGCGAACCGGGGGAACUGAAACAUCUAAGUACCCCGAGGAAAAGAAAUCAACCGAGAUUCCCCCAGUAGCGGCGAGCGAACGGGGAGGAGCCCAGAGCCUGAAUCAGUGUGUGUGUUAGUGGAAGCGUCUGGAAAGGCGUGCGAUACAGGGUGACAGCCCCGUACACAAAAAUGCACAUGCUGUGAGCUCGAUGAGUAGGGCGGGACACGUGGUAUCCUGUCUGAAUAUGGGGGGACCAUCCUCCAAGGCUAAAUACUCCUGACUGACCGAUAGUGAACCAGUACCGUGAGGGAAAGGCGAAAAGAACCCCGGCGAGGGGAGUGAAAAAGAACCUGAAACCGUGUACGUACAAGCAGUGGGAGCCUCUUUAUGGGGUGACUGCGUACCUUUUGUAUAAUGGUCAGCGACUUAUAUUCUGUAGCAAGGUUAACCGAAUAGGGGAGCCGGAGGGAAACCGAGUCUUAACUGGGCGUUAAGUUGCAGGGUAUAGACCCGAAACCCGGUGAUCUAGCCAUGGGCAGGUUGAAGGUUGGGUAACACUAACUGGAGGACCGAACCGACUAAUGUUGAAAAAUUAGCGGAUGACUUGUGGCUGGGGGUGAAAGGCCAAUCAAACCGGGAGAUAGCUGGUUCUCCCCGAAAGCUAUUUAGGUAGCGCCUCGUGAAUUCAUCUCCGGGGGUAGAGCACUGUUUCGGCAAGGGGGUCAUCCCGACUUACCAACCCGAUGCAAACUGCGAAUACCGGAGAAUGUUAUCACGGGAGACACACGGCGGGUGCUAACGUCCGUCGUGAAGAGGGAAACAACCCAGACCGCCAGCUAAGGUCCCAAAGUCAUGGUUAAGUGGGAAACGAUGUGGGAAGGCCCAGACAGCCAGGAUGUUGGCUUAGAAGCAGCCAUCAUUUAAAGAAAGCGUAAUAGCUCACUGGUCGAGUCGGCCUGCGCGGAAGAUGUAACGGGGCUAAACCAUGCACCGAAGCUGCGGCAGCGACGCUGAUGCGUUGUUGGGUAGGGGAGCGUUCUGUAAGCCUGUGAAGGUGUGCUGUGAGGCAUGCUGGAGGUAUCAGAAGUGCGAAUGCUGACAUAAGUAACGAUAAAGCGGGUGAAAAGCCCGCUCGCCGGAAGACCAAGGGUUCCUGUCCAACGUUAAUCGGGGCAGGGUGAGUCGACCCCUAAGGCGAGGCCGAAAGGCGUAGUCGAUGGGAAACAGGUUAAUAUUCCUGUACUUGGUGUUACUGCGAAGGGGGGACGGAGAAGGCUAUGUUGGCCGGGCGACGGUUGUCCCGGUUUAAGCGUGUAGGCUGGUUUUCCAGGCAAAUCCGGAGAAUCAAGGCUGAGGCGUGAUGACGAGGCACUACGGUGCUGAAGCAACAAAUGCCCUGCUUCCAGGAAAAGCCUCUAAGCAUCAGGUAACAUCAAAUCGUACCCCAAACCGACACAGGUGGUCAGGUAGAGAAUACCAAGGCGCUUGAGAGAACUCGGGUGAAGGAACUAGGCAAAAUGGUGCCGUAACUUCGGGAGAAGGCACGCUGAUAUGUAGGUGAAGCGACUUGCUCGUGGAGCUGAAAUCAGUCGAAGAUACCAGCUGGCUGCAACUGUUUAUUAAAAACACAGCACUGUGCAAACACGAAAGUGGACGUAUACGGUGUGACGCCUGCCCGGUGCCGGAAGGUUAAUUGAUGGGGUCAGCGCAAGCGAAGCUCUUGAUCGAAGCCCCGGUAAACGGCGGCCGUAACUAUAACGGUCCUAAGGUAGCGAAAUUCCUUGUCGGGUAAGUUCCGACCUGCACGAAUGGCGUAAUGAUGGCCAGGCUGUCUCCACCCGAGACUCAGUGAAAUUGAACUCGCUGUGAAGAUGCAGUGUACCCGCGGCAAGACGGAAAGACCCCGUGAACCUUUACUAUAGCUUGACACUGAACACUGGUCCUUGAUGUGUAGGAUAGGUGGGAGGCUUUGAAGUGUGGACGCCAGUCUGCAUGGAGCCGUCCUUGAAAUACCACCCUUUAAUGGCUGGUGUUCUAACGUAGGCCCCUUAUCGGGGUUGCGGACAGUGUCUGGUGGGUAGUUUGACUGGGGCGGUCUCCUCCUAAAGAGUAACGGAGGAGCACGAAGGUUGGCUAAUCCUGGUCGGACAUCAGGAGGUUAGUGCAAUGGCAUAAGCCAGCUUGACUGCGAGCGUGACGGCGCGAGCAGGUGCGAAAGCAGGUCAUAGUGAUCCGGUGGUUCUGAAUGGAAGGGCCAUCGCUCAACGGAUAAAAGGUACUCCGGGGAUAACAGGCUGAUACCGCCCAAGAGUUCAUAUCGACGGCGGUGUUUGGCACCUCGAUGUCGGCUCAUCACAUCCUGGGGCUGAAGUAGGUCCCAAGGGUAUGGCUGUUCGCCAUUUAAAGUGGUACGCGAGCUGGGUUUAGAACGUCGUGAGACAGUUCGGUCCCUAUCUGCCGUGGGCGCUGGAGAACUGAGGGGGGCUGCUCCUAGUACGAGAGGACCGGAGUGGACGCAUCACUGGUGUUCGGGUUGUCAUGCCAAUGGCACUGCCCGGUAGCUAAAUGCGGAAGAGAUAAGUGCUGAAAGCAUCUAAGCACGAAACUUGCCCCGAGAUGAGUUCUCCCUGACCCUUUAAGGGUCCUGAAGGAACGUUGAAGACGACGACGUUGAUAGGCCGGGUGUGUAAGCGCAGCGAUGCGUUGAGCUAACCGGUACUAAUGAACCGUGAGGCUUAACCUU